AUUGUGUUGCUGCGUGAUUUGUGACCAAAUAUCCAUUUCUUUGGCAUGAUAACACAACUUAAGACGCCGUUCAUUUGCCCACCUAUGGUGUUUGUUAUGGUGUUUGCUAGUGGAUUGGAAGAAAGUUACGUGGUUGUUUUGAAUACACGACAUAAUAUGAAUUGUUCGUUGUUUAGUUUGGCAGUAACUUCCUAUGGCAAGCAACAUUAUAAAGCCACAAAACUGCCACCAUACAGUGCUCAUAUAUCAAAUGUUUGCUUGCAAGUCAAAGCAAAAAUUUGUCCAAAUGACAGCUCAUAUUGAAAAAGUCACAUAUCGGGUCACUUGUAUCUCAGGGCACCUCUGUUUGAGUAAAUUGGGAUAUGAGCUUGAUUAGGAAACUUGUAAGUUAAAGAACUGCUGUAGCAUUUUCUAUGGCCCCCUUCAGUCAGUGGUCCUCAGAAUGUCCAUCACGCUCUACCCUCUUCUUACAUACGCCAGUCUUCAUACUUUUACGACUGAAUGUCUUCAAGAGAAUUAAAUAUGCAUUAGAGAGUCAGCAGUUUGAUUAGGUGCGUCCAUUACAGUCUGCAAAUUAUUCCCACAACUCCUCUCUUGCUCCCACUCGCGUCUUCAAAGCUGUGUAGUGUUUGCUCUCAAGUCAUGCGUGUUUUUUCUUUCUUUAAUAUGGGCGUGAAUACGAUGAAAGGCAUGCCUCAUUUGCCUCAUGCAUGCACAGGCUUGCCGAGAUGAUGCGGCGUGACAUCAGAUGCUGCUCAAGGCUCAGCUGGAUCGCUUUUCACCAUCCAUUUAUGGUCGGGCACCUUCGCGUUUCACAUUAUCCGCAUUUCAUCCACAUCCGCCGGGUCAGUGAUAAAGCUCAGGAACCAGUUUAGGGUGUACCCCGCCUCCUGCCUGAAGAUGGUUGGGAUAGGCUCCAGCCCUCCUGCCACCCUUGUGAGGAUAAGUAGCUCAGAAAAUGCAUGAAUGGAUGGAUGGAUUACUCCCUUAUCUACCUCACUAGUGAAGGUCUUUGCCGACCUCUCCGUUCCCGGGCAAGCCAUGUCAACAAUACAAACGUGUGCUCCCACAAUUGGGUCUUCUCCACGGAAGGACCCAAUGAGAGGAAAGGGGACGGACGGUCUAAGCCAAAUAUGAGCAACGAGGAUACAAAACUGUGUCAAACAGAAGUAGCUGUCAGCAAUGAUCAACACACUUGGGAGCAGCAGCACCAGGGUCCUGUGCUCUUUUAUCUCUGGUGGUUCCUGACAUUCUAACAAGAUGCUAGCCGAGAGGCGCGCACACAUAUUCUGCACUUCAAAGCGAAAACAAAUGCCUCCGCCAUAACGCUAGAUGAGAGGGAAAAAAAGCGGGUCAUCCUUUGACAUCAGCAAAGAUGUUUUGUGGAACCGAAAAAAAAAACAAAAACAAUAAUACCUUUGUUCCGGGCUGGCUCAGGAUUUAUCUGCGCACAGGUGGAGGGAGAGGUCAAACAUUUUCCACAGAGUAAUUUUCUGCAAUCAUUGCAACCACCAUUAUUUUACGCGCGUGUGUGUAUCCAUAAAAAUAACUGCAUGUCUCUGCAUGCUUUAUGUAAUAAACAUGAACAAAAAGUCCACUUUUGCAAUCGUUAU